CUCGACGAACGCGCGCGCUACCAGCUCGACUACGUGCAUCCGCGUGACCUUGUACGGAUGACCGGUCAGAACUAAUUCGCCUGAUUUUACGACGCGCUCCCUUCCGAACCACCACACCAGGUUUCAAAUUUCAAAAAUCGUUCGCUUUCGAUUCUAAAAUUGCUGUCGCUGCAUUGCGUCAUAGAUGCGUGAUGCGUUUGCGCACGCUAUCCUUUUCAUUGCGAUAUGAGUUGGGG
rnacentral:misc_RNA from 1 species